UACAGAGGGUGCAAGCGUUAAUCGGAAUUACUGGGCGUAAAGCGCGCGUAGGCGGCUUGUUAAGUCAGGGGUGAAAUCCUGGAGCUCAACUCCAGAACUGCCUUUGAUACUGGCGAGCUUGAGUUCGGGAGAGGUGAGUGGAACUGCGAGUGUAGAGGUGAAAUUCGUAGAUAUUCGCAAGAACACCAGUGGCGAAGGCGGCUCACUGGCCCGAUACUGACGCUGAGGUGCGAAAGCGUGGGGAGCAAACAGG
rnacentral:rRNA from 1 species